rnacentral:rRNA from 1 species
GUUUGAUCCUGGCUCAGGAUGAACGCUAGCGGCAGGCUUAACACAUGCAAGUCGAGGGGUAGGUUACUUCGGUAACUGAGACCGGCGCACGGGUGCGUAACGCGUAUACAAUCUACCUUUUACAGAGGGAUAGCCCAGAGAAAUUUGGAUUAAUACCUCAUAGUAUUUUUGAAUGGCAUCAUUUGAUUAUUAAAGUUCCAACGGUAAAAGAUGAGUAUGCGUCCCAUUAGCUAGAUGGUAAGGUAACGGCUUACCAUGGCUACGAUGGGUAGGGGUCCUGAGAGGGAGAUCCCCCACACUGGUACUGAGACACGGACCAGACUCCUACGGGAGGCAGCAGUGAGGAAUAUUGGACAAUGGGCGCAAGCCUGAUCCAGCCAUGCCGCGUGCAGGAAGAAGGUCCUAUGGAUUGUAAACUGCUUUUAUACAGGAAGAAACACCUCUACGUGUAGAGACUUGACGGUACUGUAUGAAUAAGGACCGGCUAACUCCGUGCCAGCAGCCGCGGUAAUACGGAGGGUCCAAGCGUUAUCCGGAAUCAUUGGGUUUAAAGGGUCCGUAGGCGGCCAAAUAAGUCAGUGGUGAAAGCCCAUCGCUCAACGAUGGAACGGCCAUUGAUACUGUUUGGCUUGAAUUAUUAGGAAGUAACUAGAAUAUGUAGUGUAGCGGUGAAAUGCUUAGAGAUUACAUGGAAUACCAAUUGCGAAGGCAGGUUACUACUAAUAUAUUGAACGCUGAUGGACGAAAGCGUGGGGAGCGAACAGGAUUAGAUACCCUGUAGUCCACGCCGUAACGAUGGAUACUAGCUGUUCGGAGCAAUCUGAGUGGCUAAGCGAAAGUGAUAAGUAUCCCACCUGGGGAGUACGUUCGCAAGAAUGAAACUCAAAUGGAA